CUAGAUGCCAGGGAAAAAACAUUCACAAUGAAAACGGCAACAGGUUGCCUAGGAAGUUCCCUGCAGUUAUAUAAAAAUUUCAGUAACUCAAGGCCCCAUUCUUUGAAGUUGCCCCUGCUUUGAUCAUUAGGCUAGAUUAGAUGGCCUCCAGCUUCCUUAUAUUAUUCAUAAAAUUCUACGAAUACAGUUAUCUUGCAGCUACAUCAUCAGCAUGAAGGGAAUAACCUACACUAUGCUUCUUUAAGGUUUUUAAGAACAUUAAUGUUUUUGUGGCAUUGUGCUACGGAACCAGCCUGGCCCUAUCCAGGAACUGCAAAGUACAUUUGUCUGUAUGUACGAACUGAUUGGCAAGGACACACAAACACAACUGGAAGAACAGUAACACAUGCUUCAGUUCUAAGCAAAGUCAAAGUCAACUCAUGAAAGGAUACAGAAGACUUGACUCGAGAUGCCUUGAACUGGACUACAGGUUAAUCUGAGCGUGAGGGCAAUCCAUCAAUGCACAAAGUCAAUGGACCUGUCAACAUGGAGGUUUAUGAGAACACAGAUAAGAAGCAGCAGGAUAAGAAAGCAGAGCUCUUAAGUGAAGGAUUUCAUCCAAGUGUAUAAAAUAAUCAACACCCUUUGAGAAUGCUCAGUAGAAGCUAUUAAAAAUAUAUACUAUUAAUUCUGGAUAGAAAAUGCAUGAUGCAGUAACUCCUUGUUAUCUUCAGACUAAGCAGUCCUGAAGGAAGAACAAAUGCAGGACACACAGUCUGUUUCCAUUUAGAAAGAACAGUAAAAAAAAUCAACAUUUGUACUCAUCACAGUAUAGCAAGUGGUUUUACAGAAGCUGAAAUGUCCCUAAAAUGUAUCUUGUGCACUGUCAGUACUUGAGGGCUACUGCAGAGAGAGACAAUUAAGUGCCCUGCUGUCAGUCAGCAGCAAAACUUUCCCCUCAAAAGGCUACCUGAAAAGCCUUGCUGGUAAUUAGCAAGUUCAGCAAACCAAGCAGACCACUAGAGGAUGCUGUAGUGCUGCUACUAUCCAGGUGUAUGACAGCAAUCAAUUUUUAAGCCAGAAAGAA